rnacentral:rRNA from 1 species
AUGAUCUCUGCAAGGCAGGAGUAUAUGUGGGGCACCAUCAGGGCUAAGGUCAGAAAACCAGUUAGAGAUAAAGUUUGGGUUUCCUUUGCUAAGGAUUCUGCUGGUUGGGCUUAUUUGUUCUAUGAGAGGAUUGGUAGGAUUUGCACUUUUUGUGGAGUUAUGUUCCAUAGUGUCCAACACUGUACUGCUAGAAACAGUUUGCUUAUGUCAAGAAGCAGAUUGCAGAUUUCUUUGGAGCAAAUUUCGCCAAAUAGGUUUGGCCAAUGGAUAACUAGUGUGGGGCUGAUUCCUGGACAUUCAGGAGCUAAUUUCCAGGAAGAUUUGACUUCAUUCUCUUCCUUUCUUAACCCACAGUUAGCCAGAUUACAGAAGCAAUUCAUGGAGGAUUCUAAAGGAAAAGAUAAGGUGUCAGAAGGAGUUCAAGAUAAUGAUAAUUACAAAAAAUUAUCUCUCAAGGAAAUUAAUGAGCACAUUAGAAGAAUGGAAGGGCCAAGCUCAUCAACAAAUCCUGAGUUGCAGAUCGCUCAAAAGCAGAAUGUAUCUAAUAUAGUUAUACCUUCAUCUUCAGUAUCAGAUUUGGGCCAUCAGACUUCCCCAAACAAUCAACUGCUUCUGGGUCAGGGAUGUACUAGGACUCAACAUCCUCCAGCUAUACCUUUGUCUUCAUCAUUACAUACCUCUUGUCAGCAUGAUCUUGCAAAUCUUCUUCCUCAUUCAAAUAUUUCUAAUGUUCCAACUCAGUCUGCUGCUCACAUCACUCAGGCUCCCCCUAUCUCUGCUAUUCAUGCAACUUUGAUAGACAAACAUCUUAGUGGGAGUACAAAUAUUAAUCCCAUUCAUACCCGCAUAGUUUCUUCAUCUCCCCCUUCACCUCUCAGAUCCAAUCCCAAGAGGCCGUCCGAGUCGUUGCUUGGUGUUCCCCUUCCUCCGGCGAAGAAAGUGAUUCCUCAUGGUGCGCGGGAGAAUUCAGAUAAGAUUCCUGGGUCAGCCGCCCUCAGUCCCAUUCCCAACUCUGGUUCCCAAGCUUUACAAAGUUCAAGCCUUCUUGGAGCGCCUCCUUCCAGGCCACUUCUUCUUGGUCAGCCAUCUCCAGCUGGUGGUUUGGGGUCUGCCUUAGAGGCUUUUGCUGGUGAUGGUGUCCAACCUGCUUGA